UAUUAGGAGCACAGAAAAGCCUAGAACAUGUCAUCCAACUGUUUAGAGUUAUCUAAGUAAUGUGGGGUCAUUGACACUGAGUCAAAACCAUCAGUUCUGAGAGUCUCAGUGUCAACAACAUUCCCCAGUCCUUUGGCACUAGUUCUAAGAGAACUAUCCGAAGUUCAGGAAAGGAACUUCUCCCUGGGAGGAAGAAGGUGUUCUUCCUCUUUUUGAAUAGAGCAAGACAUGCAAAUUGGGUCCCACCCUACUGGGAUGAAAAGCAGCCCCAAACCUGUACCUGUACCUCCUGUGGGAGACAAACUCAAGUGCUCUGUGUCCUUCCCUGCAGAGGACUAACCUGGAAACUCACCAUGAAAUUUAGGCUGAACUGGAUUUUCCUUCUGACCAUUUUCCAAGGUGUCCAGUGUGAUGUGGAGCUGGUGGAGUCUGGGGGAGAUGUGAUACAGCCUGGGGGAUCUCUGAGUCUCUCCUGCAAAGUUCUGGAUUUACUUUCAGCAGCUAAAUGAGCUGGGUCCGCCAGGCUUCAGGAAAGGGACUGGAAUGGGUUGCAAGCAUUUAGUAGUAGUAGUACAUACUAUGCAGACUCUGUGAAAGGCCGAUUCACCAUCUCCAGAGAUAAUGGCAACAGCAUGUUAUAUCUACAAAUGACUUCCGUUGAGACUGAGGACACAGCUGUGUAUUACUGUGCAAGAGACACAGUGAGGAAAAGGAAUGUGAGACCUGAUAAAAAACUUCCCCUGCCAGGAGGGGAAGUGUCAGUGAGGCAAGAAGUGGACUGAGCUCAUGAUGCACAAAGUAAAAGAUGCCUAUAUCCAGGAACAGGUAUAGUGAAUUUCUAUUUAUGGCUUGUGGUGUUUUUUCUUCUGUCCCAGGAGAAAGCAACUUUUCCAGUACCUAGCUAUCAUUCUUAAUGCCUCACUCUCAGUCCCACCUCUACCCCAUAAUCAAUUAGUAGUCAUGUAUCAUCCAUUCUACUUGUAUCAGAAUUCUACUGUACUCUACCUUCUCUCCUCAAGGUACUGCAACCACCCUGAGGUAGGCCUUUACCAACUCAUACCUGGACUAUUAUGCUAGCUUGAUGGUUGUUCUCCCAGCCUUAGUACUCUCUUCACUCCAGUUCACAGGAAACUCAGCUAUUAAUAUCACCUUCCAAAAACAUAGAUCUGACAGUUUUCCCCAAGUUCUGGUGAAUCCAGAAUAAAACAUAAGUUCUGAUUUGGCUUUUAAAUCCU
rnacentral:lncRNA from 1 species